rnacentral:rRNA from 1 species
UACGAAGGGGGCUAGCGUUGCUCGGAAUCACUGGGCGUAAGGCGCACGUAGGCGGACUCUUAAGUCAGGGGUGAAAUCCUGGAGCUCAACUCCAGAACUGCCUUUGAUACUGGGAGUCUUGAGUUCGGGAGAGGUGAGUGGAACUGCGAGUGUAGAGGUGAAAUUCGUAGAUAUUCGCAAGAACACCAGUGGCGAAGGCGGCUCACUGGCCCGAUACUGACGCUGAGGUGCGAAAGCGUGGGGAGCAAACAGG